rnacentral:rRNA from 1 species
UACGUAGGGUGCAAGCGUUAAUCGGAAUUACUGGGCGUAAAGCGUGUGUAGGCGGCUACGUAAGUCGGAUGUGAAAGCCCCAGGCUCAACCUGGGAAGUGCACUCGAUACUGCGUAGCUUGAGUAUCGGAGAGGUUGGUGGAAUUCUCGGUGUAGAGGUGAAAUUCGUAGAUAUCGAGAGGAACACCGGUGGCGAAGGCGGCCAACUGGACGAAUACUGACGCUGAGACACGAAAGCGUGGGGAGCAAACAGG